UUAAAGAAGGUCAGCAGUCACUCUCAAAUACUUCUGAAUCAAGCUCGUGCUUUUCCUUUGGUGGCUGAGGGACUGUGAUAUUUGUGGUGGCUAUGGGGUGCAAAUGUAUAGCCAUGUAGCUCUUUUGUGGAUGGCUCCUAGUAUCCAGAGAGAGCUGAGAAAUACUGGAAUUUCUUCGUGAUUUUACUUUAAAGAAGAUAAUUUUUUGCACACCUUCAACUGUCCCAGGUGGACCAAUGGACAUUGUUAAGGAUGCUGAUUUACAAGUGGAAUGAAUCCCAAGGGAGGCUUAUCAGUGGACAAGGUACCUAAGACGUGGAGAUGCACUGAAAAGAAAAUAAUUCAGAUGCCCAGGAUGAGUCCAGAGUAUAUGAUAAUGAAGAACAUUUGCUUGGCUGUGAACACCACCAGAAGGUAACUGUUUGUCAUAAAAUAAACAGGAUCUUCUCUGUCA
rnacentral:lncRNA from 1 species